UAUUGGGCGUAAAGAGCUCGUAGGCGGUUUGUCGCGUCUGCCGAUGAAAGUCCGGGGCUCAACUCCGGAUCUGCGGUGGGUACGGGCAGACUAGAGUGAUGUAGGGGAGACUGGAAUUCCUGGUGUAGCGGUGAAAUGCGCAGAUAUCAGGAGGAACACCGAUGGCGAAGGCAGGUCUCUGGGCAUUAACUGACGCUGAGGAGCGAAAGCAUGGGGAGCGAACAGGAUUAGAUACCCUGGUAGUCCAUGCCGUAAACGUUGGGCACUAGGUGUGGGGGACAUUCCACGUUUUCCGCGCCGUAGCUAACGCAUUAAGUGCCCCGCCUGGGGAGUACGGCCGCAAGGCUAAAACUCAAAGGAA
rnacentral:rRNA from 1 species